UUUUUAACACUCUUAUUGAAUAUUAAAGUAAAGAGUAUUAAUUGCUAAGCAGCAACAACCUAUAAUAGUCUGAAAUAACAUAUAUGAAAGCACCUACAAUUUAUAGGUCAUAGUAUGUUCUGAAAAGUGUAAUAGACAGCUAUAGACAGUAACUGCUGACAGCAACAUAAUCAGUGAGAGAAUAUUGUCUUUUAAUUAUUUGAUGAUGGGGGG
rnacentral:lncRNA from 1 species